GCCUCCUUAGCUCAGUGGUUAGAGCACUGGUCUUGUAAACCAUGGGUCGUGAGUUCGAAUCUCACAGGGGUUU
rnacentral:tRNA from 1 species